CAAUAUAGGUAAGAAAGCUCCAAAGGGAAUGAUGUGACAAGCUCUUCAUACAAACAUCAUUUCCACACACUUCGGAUUAAUGCAAGCAAAUCAUUGCUAUGCUGAAUAAGAGCGAACUCAAAGCUCGCAGCGUUAAUAACAACUUGAAAUUGGUACAAAUCGGAAUAUUUUGUAUAUAAAAAUGAUAAUCUGUUGGACUGACUAGUCAAACCCACUAAUCAACUAAGAUAGAAUUGUUAGUCGAUAAAUCAAAGAUUUAAUAACCAAUUUCAAAUACCAAAAGUUAUCCUAGUCAGUGAUAUCUCAGUUCAUUCCAAGUUAUUAAUCUGUCAAAUGAACAAGACUGUGAGCACAUACUAAUUAAAUACUCAAGUGAUAUAUGUAGCAUGUAGUUAUGUGAGAUAUGUGGCACACUGCAAACAACUUUGAACACAAGAUGUUUUUGGCCAGAAAAACCCACCUUUAGAUUAAAAAAACCAGGGACUCUCCACUGAGUCUAAUCCAUUAGUAUAAUCAAAGUUCUUACAAAGUAGCACGCAAAGCUCAAUUCCUAGACCUAGUCUAUGAAGCAGUUUUACCUUUGUGCAACCUUACCUCACACAAGAUGGAUUCCUUCGAUCUUCACGAAGUGGCAGCUCCUCUUGACUUCUUCACCUUGUGCCACCAAGACCAGCACACGAACUAUGCAUAUGUUGAUAUGGCAAUGAUAUACAAAUUUGGAUUCAAAUGUCUAGUUCGUUUCUCCAGUCAAACUGUUAAAGGAAGAAACUUACGAGAAUCCUAAAAUGGGUUAAUUUUAAAGAUUUGAACGAGAAACACUUGACCACAAAUUUAAUGCAAAACCAAAGACAAUGCAACCCUAUUCUUCAAUGAUUGGGUGUUUAAUGCAUGAAAGAAGGUUUUGCAACUAGGGUUUCAUAAAUGAGGAAGAGGAAAAAUAAAGGGUAAAUUACAUUUGAGUCCCUCAAAUAUUGGGCCAAUUGCAACCUCAUACAACAUUUUAAAAACAUUUCAAUUUCAUACAUUUAUUUAUAUUUAUUUUUAGUUUCAUACAUCUGUUACAAAAUUUGUUAAGUUAACCGUUAAGUAAUGACGUGGCAAUUGUAAGGUCCAUAUUUGUGGUGACAUGGUUGCCAACUUUAUACCAUGUGAAUAAAAACAAUAAAAAAAGAUUAUUUAAUAAAAAAUCAAUUUAAAUUAUAAUUAAAAACUAAAAAAAAAUUGAAAAGAGGAUAUAUUCAAAGCUUGGCCCA
rnacentral:lncRNA from 1 species